GAUUACGCUUCCUGCAAUCUUCAUCACCGUCGUCGUGUCGACGACAAAACAACGAAAGAACACGCGUCAACCCACCAAAACCGAAAACAGCAACGCUAAGCAAUACCAAAACCGAAAUCAGGCAGCAAGCAACAGCAAUAAUAACUUGUAUUCGUUCAUCCAGUCAGUCAGUCAGUGGCAGCAUCCAAAACUUCCACAAUACACCGUCGUCAGCAGAAAAGGGGCCACCGAAUCGCAUCCAGAAUGUUAAUCAGACUUUCGUCAACGUCUUCGUCGGCGUCUUUGCAGCAAAAAUUGAGUCCGGUUUCAGUGGCAGCAGCUUUUCUCGGAAUCAACGAAAAUGCCCGGAGGAAGGUCAACAUGAGGAAGCGUUUUGACGUCGUCGUGGGAUGCCGGAAAGGGCGCGCCGGAAGUGAAACUUUGGCCCAGGGUUUUUCGUCCAGGUUGGAUGCUGACCAGCCGUAAGGUUUUCCUAGCCAGGUGCGUCUGAACUUGGUCCAGAGUUUGGCGGAAUCAAACGAAUUAAUCAUCCGGCGACUACUGGCACAGGCAGAGGGAGGCAAUUUAAUUUCCCGGGCUGUUUGUCGUGUGACAAAAAUCAACUGGACCCACCUUGGAAGGAAUCUUUUCCCCACUGAAUGAUUUAUCACUUUUUGUGGGGCUGAUGAGACAAACUUCCAACACCUGCUCGAGAGAAGGGAAAAGGUCGUAGAAAGUCGUAGGAUAGUAAAAAAAAUCUCAAAACGAAAGUCUUGCUGCACCGGGUUUCAUUUCUUGACUCAGCAAAAACUGAGAAAAGGGACCAUCGAACAAUCUCCGGAGACGAGAUCGUGAUUAAAUACAUGCGACAUAGCGGAACAACAACAGAAGGUAAACAGAAAUAGGCCGUCAUAAAAAUCUAAUCAACAAAGCUUCUCCCUAGAGGGUCGGCCCCAAGAAAACUGGUAGAAAGGAAGAAAGCCACGAAACAAAAUCAGGCCGACAGCGAAGACAACUGAACGACGACCCUAAAGAAACAAAUCAUACACUCACAGCAGCGAUUCGAGCAGGAAAGAAAAAGAAAGAAAAAACAUUGCUGGUCCGUUAGUUUUUUUUUUAUAUCUCUGGAGCCACCAGCAGAGUCAAGCACGUGUUCAAAUCUCGAAGCAAAAAUCUUGGUAGAAUAGCCAUCAUCAUUUGUGAAGACUGCAAGUUACCGCCAGUAAAUGAAGAAGCGCAAUCACGAAAGCACCAGGAUCGUAAAAAAAAGAGUGUCCAACGCAUCUCCAGGACACCAGUACCAGAAAGCAGGAGCAGAGCACAAAUUGCCACUCAUACUCGGAAGGGCUAACUCCAACCAGAAACAAUAAAACAACACAAACAACACCGACAGCCGAGAGUACACAUUUGCUAAAAAAAAAAAAGAAACUAAACCGUUACAGCAGAAGCAACACAAGAAGAGAAAAAAUCAGUAGACCCUCCCCCAAACCAAAGCAAAAUGAAUCUUAUGAACAUGGACUCGGAGAAUCGGGUAGUGCUGAACGUCGGGGGAAUUCGGCACGAAACCUACAAGGCGACGCUGAAGAAGAUUCCGGCCACCCGGCUGAGUCGGCUAACCGAAGCCCUCGGCAAUUACGAUCCGGUCCUGAACGAGUACUUCUUCGACCGGCACCCGGGGGUGUUUGCCCAGGUGCUCAACUACUAUCGGACGGGCAAGCUCCAUUACCCAACCGAUGUCUGUGGACCACUGUUCGAGGAGGAGCUCUCGUUUUGGGGCUUAGACUCCAACCAGGUAGAGCCGUGCUGCUGGAUGACGUACACCCAGCAUCGCAAUACGCAGGAAACGUUGGCUGUUUUAGAUAGGCUAGAUUUAGAUACGGAAAAACCUACCGACGAAGAGGUAGCGAAAAAGUUCGGUUUCGAAGACGCUUACAAUAAGGGCAAGGUGAGCUGGUGGCAGCACGUCAAGCCGCAGAUCUGGUCCCUGUUCGAUGAACCGUACAGCUCCAACGCCGCCAAGAUCAUUGGCAUCAUAUCAGUAUUCUUCAUCUGCGUGUCGAUCAUAUCAUUCUGCCUGAAGACCCAUCCGGACAUGCGGGUGCCCUACAUCCGGAACAUCACGGUCAAGACGGCGAGCCAGAACACUUCGUGGGUGCUGGACAAGACGCAAACGAAUGCCCACGUGGCGUUCUUCUACAUCGAGUGCGUCUGCAACGCGUGGUUCACGUUCGAGAUUUUGGUGCGCUUCAUUUCGUCCCCUAGCAAACUUAGGUUCAUCACUUCGUCUGUAAAUAUCAUCGACUACAUCGCCACGCUGAGUUUCUUCAUCGAUCUGAUACUGCAGCGAUUCGCGUCGCACCUGGAGAAUGCCGACAUCCUCGAGUUCUUCUCCAUCAUCCGUAUCAUGAGAUUGUUCAAGCUGACGCGCCAUUCGUCCGGUCUCAAGAUCCUGAUCCAGACCUUCCGGGCCUCGGCCAAGGAGCUGACGCUGCUGGUGUUCUUCCUCGUGUUAGGUAUCGUGAUAUUCGCCAGUCUCGUCUACUACGCCGAACGGAUACAGAUCAAUCCGCACAACGACUUCAACAGCAUCCCGCUGGGGCUUUGGUGGGCCCUGGUCACGAUGACCACUGUUGGCUACGGCGAUAUGACGCCAAAGACCUACAUCGGGAUGUUUGUGGGAGCGUUGUGUGCGUUGGCCGGUGUGUUGACGAUUGCCCUGCCGGUGCCUGUCAUUGUGAGCAACUUCACGAUGUACUACUCGCACACGCAGGCCCGUGCCAAGUUGCCGAAGCGGCGUCGUCGUGUCUGCCCGGUCGAACUUUCGAGGCCCCCUCGGUUGCCAGGCCAAGGCGGUCCGGGGCAGUGCGCCAACACCGGUUCCGGCAAGCUUCCUUCUUCCAACGCUCCGAGCACCGGAAGCAUGGACCAAACCAUCAGGCGCAUGAACGCCAACCGCAACAUCUCCAAAGAUGUCAUCCUGCCAAAGAUGGCAUGAUGGGACGACAACCUUUAGGUUAUUUCUUCGCGUGCAAAAAUCUAUGUACAAAGUUGGUUUCUGGAAUUCGUUGCUAUCGUCGAAUGCCGCCUGCAGAUCUUACCGUGCCGUUUCUUAUCAAUGAAAUGAAACCCAAACUUGAGCAGAUCUCGGGGUACCUGGAUUCAAAAUCCCAUCAUCUUCUCUCGAUGGAAAUCGAUCGCCCAUCCCUCCGGUUUUUCGUAAAAAUAAGCCGCUGAAAACAGAUGACGUUUCGAGCGAAACAAAAUCUUACAUGAAUUGCCAAUUUCGCGAAAGUGAUACUUCACCAGAUCCCAAGAAUGACGAACCGAAAAAAAGCAAAAAAAUCAAUGGAAGAUCUCGCGUUUUGCCGGCGUACCUUUAAGACCCCCCAGAAGCAAACCCAGAUGCCCAAGAUAAGCGAGAGAGAGAGAGAGAGGGCGAAUAAAAAACAACCCUCAAUCAUCAGGAAGGAUCUCCUCCAGUUCAAAUAAAAGGUACCGUAGGAUUUACCUAUCCAUUUUUUUUCUGUGAGCCCACCGAGUAAGAUAAAAAAGACGUUAUGCUGUCAGGCACGGCAAAAGGAAACCCGCCAGCCACAUCCGAAAUGGAACGCACCCUUCUCAGCUUCUCAGUCAGUUCUUCCUCCCUUGAGAUGAUCCAAAGGCUUCUUAGAAGUUGCCUACAUUCAGGCGAAGCUGCAGCAUCCGACCAAACCGAACACAAGCAAUAACAACAGAAGCAACAGCAGCAGCAACAACAACAAUAACAACCAGAAACCAAAGACCCCGUGGGCAACGUUUGAGAGGACCUGAUAACGGUGGCACCAGCCGGAACCCUGCUGGAGCUACCGGAGGAUGAGCUACCGUUGGAUCUGGAGAUCAUCAGCCCUGGUAUGAUGAUGGGUACCGUUGACAUAAACACCCUCAACAACAACAACAGCAAUAACGGUGGUCAUCCCCUGGUGGUUUCCGGCAACGGAAGUGCCCCGCUUCAGCAACUGCCAACUGUCAACGCUGCCAACGGAAUCAGCAUCCCGGAUGUGCCGAGUGCUGCCGGAAGUGGUGGAAGUGUGAGUGCAGCAGCAGGAGGAAGUGGAAUUGGAAGUGGAAGUGGACCAGUAGCAGUCGUCACACGAGGGUUGAGCCUGAGGAGAACUUCCCUCGGCAAGAGCAAAGAUCGGAAGCUCAAGAACAGCUAAUCGUUUGGAGGAUUCGAGAAGCGGAACAAGAAGAAACUACUCAAGGGGCCGAUUCCAGAAGACGUUUAUCUUUAAGAACUAGCUAAUAAGUGCAAAUCGACUAAUAGCAAAAACAAGAAGAUAUAAAACAGAAAAUAAAAACAAGAAUCUAAAUCCAAAUAAAAAAAUAAACCAACAUCAAACCAAAAAGAAAAAUUCACACACAGACACACUUUUGCCUUCGCUUUUCUUUCGAAUUGAUUGUUAGCUUUUUUGAGAUAUAAAAGAACCGCGACCAAAUAAAAAUAGAAAAUUGUGGGGACGUAAAUUGUAGUGUCUUGGUCGGAGGAAUAGACAAAACGAGAUCGAAAAUGUGAGAGAUAGAGAGAGAGAAAGUGAAAGUUAGUCGAAAUCGAAUCGAAACCAAAAGCAGAUAGAGGACGAGGAGCAGUUUGUUAUGAGAAAACUUUGUUUUAUAAAGUUGGUUGUCUUUUUGAUGCUGAGUGAGGCUGAUUGCGAUUGAUUUAUUUAUCGAUUCCCUAAAGUGAAUCCAUCAAAUCCGAUUAGCGAUCCUGUUGAAUGUUUUCAAUGUUGAUCAUUAAAUGCAAAAAAAAAAAAACAAGAAUAAACUUUUCCGUUCCGCUAGUGAUUGAGUUCAUGGUUUUUCCCCCAAAAAUAGAUUUAAAUCUAAGAGUUUUAUAUGAACGUACGAAAUCAUUCUCUAGAACCAUGAUCAACAAAACGCUUACUACCAAUUGAAAUGUGUACAGAUACAAAUCGAAAUCUAAACUAUAAAUAUAUAUACAAAUCCAAAAAAAACUAGUUCACAAAUGUACAUAUUCAAAAUAUGAUAUGGAACACUUAAUUGAUAAAACAAAAAAAAAACACAACAAAACAAUUGUAUAUUUUAACAAAUGAGGCAAAACAAAAAGUGAUAACAAGUUAUUUUAAUAUAAAACGUAGCUCUUAUACCGGUCGGUUCGAAAUGAAUCAAGCCCGAAAUUGGAUUGGUGUAAAAGUUCGAAAAUUCGUCUUUUUCCUAAUUGCGUUACCUUUCUUUGAUUUUCCAAAUAAUGUUGCUAGAAUGAACGCUAAAUUAAUAAUAAUAACAAAAACAAAGAAAAAUAUCUCAUAUGAUACAAAACCAAGAGAGCAGAACAAAUGGAAAAACCAAUCUUAAAACCAAAUACACAUUAUCAAAAAAUGAAAAGAAAAACUAUUUGAAGAUAAAAAAAAUAUAAAAGAAAUACAAAGAAGCCUGUGUAAAUAAAAAUGAUAUGGUUGCAAAAUUUCUCGUCA